GCCUGGAUGGCUCAGUCGGUUGAGCGUCCGACUUCGGCUCAGGUCACGAUCUCACGGUUCGUGGGUUCGAGCCCCGCGUCGGGCU
rnacentral:tRNA from 1 species